AGCCAGAGGCACAUGAAAAGCUUGAACACUUUGAUGAGGUUAUUACUGACAUGACAAAAAUCUUGGAAUUGGAACCCUCACAUGACCAAGCUAGGAGAAGUGUGAUACGUUUAAAGCCAUUAGCUGAUGAGAAACGAGAAA